rnacentral:rRNA from 1 species
GACGAACGCUGGCGGCGUGCUUAACACAUGCAAGUCGAACGGAAAGGCCCUGCUUUUGUGGGGUGCUCGAGUGGCGAACGGGUGAGUAACACGUGAGUAACCUGCCCUUGACUUUGGGAUAACUUCAGGAAACUGGGGCUAAUACCGGAUAGGAGCUCCUGCUGCAUGGUGGGGGUUGGACAGUUUCAGCGGUUGGGGAUGGACUCGCGGCUUAUCAGCCUGUUGGUGGGGUAGUGGCUUACCAAGGCUUUGACGGGUAGCCGGCCUGAGAGGGUGACCGGCCACAUUGGGACUGAGAUACGGCCCAGACUCCUACGGGAGGCAGCAGUGGGGAAUAUUGCACAAUGGGCGGAAGCCUGAUGCAGCAACGCCGCGUGCGGGAUGACGGCCUUCGGGUUGUAAACCGCUUUCGCCUGUGACAAAGCGUGAGUGACGGUAAUGGGUAAAGAAGCACCGGCUAACUACGUG